rnacentral:lncRNA from 1 species
UUAAGAGGAAGGUAAUUAAAUUGGUCUAUUUACAAGUAUGCUCUUCCCCAUCUGAAAAUUUUUUGUGUACUGAUGAUCUUUUGGACUUUUCAGAAAAGCUCAGCUUCCCCUUCAAAGCCUUUGGCAUUACCAACUCCUGUUCCAUCAUCCCCUGUCGAGGCUACUUCAUCCAAACCGGUUGAUGAUGGGACCAUGCUUAAAG